rnacentral:rRNA from 1 species
UUUUGAAGGGGGAGUUGGUAACAAAGGUUUCCGGUAGGGUAAACCUGCGGAAGGAUCCAUUGU